GGUGGGGUAACGGCCUACCAAGGUGAUGAUACGUAGCCGAACUGAGAGGUUGAUCGGCCACAUUGGGACUGAGACACGGCCCAAACUCCUACGGGAGGCAGCAGUAGGGAAUCUUCCACAAUAGACGAAAGUCUGAUGGAGCAACGCCGCGUGAAUGAAGAAGGCCUUCGGGUCGUAAAAUUCUGUUGUCAGAGAAGAAUGUGCGUGAGAGUAACUGUUCACGUAUUGACGGUAUCUGACCAGAAAGCCACGGCUAACUACGUGCCAGCAGCCGCGGUAAUACGUAGGUGGCAAGCGUUGUCCGGAUUUAUUGGGCGUAAAGGGAACGCAGGCGGUCUUUUAAGUCUGAUGUGAAAGCCUUCGGCUUAACCGAAGUAGUGCAUUGGAAACUGGAAGACUUGAGUGCAGAAGAGGAGAGUGGAACUCCAUGUGUAGCGGUGAAAUGCGUAGAUAUAUGGAAGAACACCAGUGGCGAAAGCGGCUCUCUGGUCUGUAACUGACGCUGAGGUUCGAAAGCGUGGGUAGCAAACAGGAUUAGAUACCCUGGUAGUCCACGCCGUAAACGAUGAGUGCUAAGUGUUGGAGGGUUUCCGCCCUUCAGUGCUGCAGCUAACGCAUUAAGCACUCCGCCUGGGGAGUACGGUCGCAAGACUGAAACUCAAAGGAAUUGACGGGGGCCCGCACAAGCGGUGGAGCAUGUGGUUUAAUUCGAAGCAACGCGAAGAACCUUACCAGGUCUUGACAUCUUCUGACAAUUCCAGAGAUGGAACGUUCCCUUCGGGGACAGAAUGACAGGUGGUGCAUGGUUGUCGUCAGCUCGUGUCGUGAGAUGUUGGGUUAAGUCCCGCAACGAGCGCAACCCUUAUUGUCAGUUGCCAUCAUUAAGUUGGGCACUCUGGCGAGACUGCCGGUGACAAACCGGAGGAAGGUGGGGAUGACGUCAAAUCAUCAUGCCCCUUAUGACCUGGGCUACACACGUGCUACAAUGGACGGUACAACGAGUCGCUAACUCGCGAGGGCAAGCUAAUCUCUUAAAGCCGUUCUCAGUUCGGAUUGCAGGCUGCAACUCGCCUGCAUGAAGUCGGAAUCGCUAGUAAUCGCGAAUCAGCAUGUCGCGGUGAAUACGUUCCCGGGCCUUGUACACACCGCCCGUCACACCAUGAGAGUUUGUAACACCCAAAGUCGGUGGGGUAACCUUUUGGAGCCAGCCGCCUAAGGUGGGACAGAUGAUUGGGGUGAAGUCGUAACAAGGUA
rnacentral:rRNA from 1 species